rnacentral:lncRNA from 1 species
AAACAGGCUUUCAAAGGCCUCCUUAGAUACAGUGUUAUGUGGGUGAGUGGAUUUGAGGACACAGUUGGGCACACCCAACCUUGGGGUCAGUGAGCAAACGUUUAAACAUGUGUAAACAAUCAGCUUUCCUACUGUGAAAUCAACUUGGCAGAGUCAUCAGCAGGCAACACUUCAUUGCCUAAAGGCAAAAAGGUAGGAAGACUAAUGCAACUGACUCAUCCAUAUAUGAGUCUCAGGAUAAUGAAUUAAAG